GUGAUACAGCUGGCAGCCUAAGUCCACAGCGAAGUCCAUCAACCGCCUGUGUCAGUGCAAGCCCCUGGUGACCGGAGCUUCAUGUGACCAAUGCAAAGCAAACUCCUUCCACCUUCACCCAAGUUCUCCUCUUGGCUGUGUGGAAUGCUUCUGCAUGGGCAUCACCAAGUCCUGUUCCAGUAGCUUCUACCAUAGAGAGCAGGAGGUGUUAAGGUUCUCGACUAGUACUGAGGGUGUCCAUCUGACAACUUUAGACAGGGCUACAACAAUUGACCGUGGACUGAAGCUGGAUCCCCGGAGCAAGGAGCUGGUUUAUCAGGACUUUGCAGCACAUC